UGUUCGCCCCUAUUGAUGAACAAUAAAUUGCAAGAACAAAAGAAGGGCCCGCAGCAACAAACUUCAGGGGCAAACAGCAACAGACCUGCAGGGACUACACUACCCUGCAACGGCUGGAAUUAAAAGGCUAACAGUCACAAACCUGUAGAGACUUAAUCACCCUAAACAACAACAAAACUUCAAGGGACUUAACUGCCCUAAACAACAACAAGUCUUCAGGAAACAUUUGUCCUCCAAAGUCAAACAACAACAGACCUGCAAGUACUAC
rnacentral:lncRNA from 1 species